AAACGUCGGAUCUGUUUCCUGUGAAUCCAACUGAGCUCAUUUUAUCGCCGUUGGCCGGUAGCGACGGCAAAGGAAAGGAGUGCACAUUUUUCACAUUUUAGUAUAUAAAAGUUACGCAGUUAAACAAUUAAGUCAGUGCUUUCAAUCAAGCAACACAUUUAACCAUGUGGGUUGUGAGAUCACAGUUCUGUGAAAUAAGUAUGCAGCUGUGCUUGAACUGAUGUCGUCAGAGACGCUGAAAUGCAAAGCAAUUCUCAGAACACAAUUCCUGGAACUUCUGUCAACUCGUAAAGCCAAACCCACUGAGCUUUUCUUCCUCUGUUUUCGCAAAUACUGUAAAACAUAUUUUCUUCAUCACUUCAAAGACUAGGCUCCGCGUCUGACUGUUCCUUAAUACUUUGUAGUUUUCCUUGAGAGGGAAGUCACGGUCACGGCUUUAUGAUUUUCGCAUUUGUACGGUAUAUUGGACUUCAUCAAGACAGCCAUAUUCGCUUUAUCGUUGCGGAUAUUAAAAAUCGAAUACAUUAAAAAAAAAAUCUUUUUUUUUCUGUGAAACAACAAAACAUUAAGUGCUCUCGGUAAAUUAAAAUUUCUGUUUUUCGGUCAUUUAACUAGAUAGCUUUCGAUAUUGUUGGUUCUUUUUUCUUUCUCAAGCUUUUGGGCUUAUAAAAAAAGAGCAGAGAAUACAACCUCAGGACUGGACAACCUCUGGGAAUUCUCUAUCUGUGAUGAUUCUCUGUGUACAAGGCCCCAGGGCAGUGCUGCCUGUUCCAACCACUGAGGUGGUUCCAUUUACAAUGCGGACCGACACACACCUUGGAUUCUCCUCACCCACUGCCCCCUGCUGCCUCCAUAGCCCUCCCAAGUUGUGGGACCCCACAGAAGACUUGCGUGCCAUUGCUCGGACCUUCCACUACCUUGAUAUCUCAGGGUGGUACUGGGGUGCCAUUACAGCAACUGAAGCACAGUCAGUCCUUCAGGAGGCACAGGAGGGGACCUUUUUGAUUCGAGACAGCAGCCACCCCUUGUACAUGCUGACUCUGUCUGUGAAGACAGGACGUGGCCCAACCAAUGUACGAAUUGAGUACAGCCACGGACGUUUCCGUCUGGACUCCAGCUCUCUGGCAAAACCUCGGCUGCUAGCAUUCCCAGAUGUGGCCAGCCUUGUGCAGCACUAUGUAGGGUCAAGCCAGGGUGAGGUGAGGUGCAAAGAGGACCAACCAAUGCCCAAGGGUAGUGCGUUGCUUCUGAAACUGGCUCGACCACUCCACCGUAGCAAGUCCUGCCCUUCUCUACAGCACCUCACACGGCUCACAAUUAACCGCCUUACCCGCUAUCCCGACCAGCUUCCCCUGCCACGUCCUCUACAACGCUACCUGCAAGAUUACCCCUUUCAUCUUUGAAACAUCCAGCACCCCCUGGGGGACAUGGUAGCUCCCAGCACACCUGACCCUGUGAUUGGAUAAGGAUCUGGCACAGUGAGCUUCUGAGCAGAGAGAUAUGCAAAAAGAUCUCAAUGGAAAUUGCUACUAUGCACACACCAAUUGGUGAGGAAGGGGAUAAAGCUGGACGAUUCAUGGAAUGAGCAUGCGCUUCCAGGGAGAAUGAGAUACUGGAAAGGAGAGUUCCAGGAAAGGCUUCAGUAAUUACCCUCAGCCACACUCCACUCCAGUUCCUAGAAUCUGCGGGUUGGUGAGGGGGGGGGGAUCUGAGGGAGAUAAAGGGGAGGAGGCAAAGGUAGAUGUUCUACAAAGCAUGUCCCUGAUUCGGACAUCAAAGCUGUCGGAUCAUGAAUGUGCAAUCAGUUAAAACUGAUCAGCAGCAGUGCUAGGUUUAUCAGUGCUGUAGGACCGUGCUGCCGUGUCUUUAAGCCAGACAACUCAAAUGCACCAAUGAGCAAACUGCUUAACUGCUUUAGUUUAUCAUCAGAUCAUAAGAAACAGCAAUUAAAGUUUACAAGUGAUAUAAUCCAUUUUAUUUUUCUUUCAGGUUUUUGUUUCAGGUAAAACAGGAAAUUAGUAAACCAGUGUAGACCCCCUAACAAUACAGAAAAAUAUCACUAUUACAAUAUUAAAUACAGUUGAUAAACCAUUUUUAGAGUCCUGCAACUCACAACACUGUCUAUAACAGGGACCUAUAAUAGUGA